rnacentral:rRNA from 1 species
AACGUAGGAGACAAACGUUAUCCGGAGUUACUGGGCGUAAAGCGUGCGCAGGCGGUUGUGCAAGACAGAUGUGAAAUCCCCGGGCUCAACCUGGGAAUUGCAUUUGUGACUGCACGGCUAGAGUGUGUCAGAGGGGGGUAGAAUUCCACGUGUAGCAGUGAAAUGCGUAGAUAUGUGGAGGAAUACCGAUGGCGAAGGCAGCCCCCUGGGAUAACACUGACGCUCAUGCACGAAAGCGUGGGGAGCAAACAGG